rnacentral:rRNA from 1 species
GGGAACAUACCCUUUUCUACGGAAUAGCUCUGGGAAACUGGAAUUAAUACCGUAUACGCCCUACGGGGGAAAGAUUUAUCGGGGAAGGAUUGGCCCGCGUUGGAUUAGCUAGUUGGUGGGGUAAAGGCCUACCAAGGCGACGAUCCAUAGCUGGUCUGAGAGGAUGAUCAGCCACAUUGGGACUGAGGCACGGCCCAAACUCCUACGGGAGGCAGCAGUGGGGAAUAUUGGACAAUGGGCGCAAGCCUGAUCCAGCCAUGCCGCGUGAGUGAUGAAGGCCUUAGGGUUGUAAAGCUCUUUCACCGAUGAAGAUAAUGACGGUAGUCGGAGAAGAAGCCCCGGCUAACUUCGUGCCAGCAGCCGCGGUAAUACGAAGGGGGCUAGCGUUGUUCGGAAUUACUGGGCGUAAAGCGCACGUAGGCGGAUAUUUAAGUCAGGGGUGAAAUCCCAGAGCUCAACUCUGGAACUGCCUUUGAUACUGGGUAUCUUGAGUAUGGAAGAGGUAAGUGGAAUUGCGAGU